UGGGGAAUAUUGCACAAUGGGGGAAACCCUGAUGCAGCGACGCCGCGUGAGCGAAGAAGGUUUUCGAAUCGUAAAGCUCUGUCCUAUGGGAAGAUAAUGACGGUACCAUAGGAGGAAGCCCCGGCUAACUACGUGCCAGCAGCCGCGGUAAUACGUAGGGGGCAAGCGUUGUCCGGAAUCACUGGGCGUAAAGGGUUCGCAGGCGGAAAUGCAAGUCAGUUGUGAAAGGCAGAGGCUCAACCUCUGUAAGCAAUUGAAACUGUAUUUCUUGAGAGGUGGAGAGGGGAGUGGAAUUCCUAGUGUAGCGGUGAAAAGCGUAGAUAUUAGGAAGAAUACCGAUGGCGAAGGCGACUUGCUAGACACAAACAGACGCUGAGGAACGAAAGCGUGGGUAGCAAACAGG
rnacentral:rRNA from 1 species